CUCAAACUACUCUAUUAUAGUUUUUAAGAGCAUACUUCAAAAUAGAUUCUUAUUUUUGAUAAUGCAAUGUAGUUUUAUUUAUUUUUAUUUUUCAGUAAAAUCGACGAAUUUUUUCCACCUUUUCGGUAACUAUUUUUUCCGAAGAAAAAUGUAAUUUAUCUUUUACCAAAAUAUUCAAAAACCAGAGAAAGAAAAAAAUGGAGAUAUGGGGGCUUUGUUUCGACGCUUGGUGUUAGAGUUGAAAACAGAAGGUUUUAAUCUGCCUUUGUCAGCCCAAUCGAUAACCAGCCGCAUCGUUCUAUAUAUAUACCAUAGUAUAACAGUGCUACCAACAUGUUAGUCGAAAUACAGGAAAUCUCACUGACGAUGGCCAUAUCUAUAAGAUAAAAAUUAAUCGAAGUAAUUCCUAUUCGUUAUCUACUAAGCAGGUUUUGUCGAUUGCUGCUUACUUUAUCGACCGAGCAAGUAUUUGAGUUAUCAACCAACAGCAUUUAUUCGAAGGUACUAUUCGUUCUAUACUGAAGGAAACACUCUCUUCAAAAGCAUAAAGUAAAUUAUAAUACACAACGGCUUUGUGCGUUCAGCUGGCUUUGUUAUUAAUAAUUAAUUAUCUUAAUUAUGGACCGUGCGUAUAACGAGCUAUAGAAUAUAUUGGAUAAAUUGAAACAUUCUAUGUUCAAUUGUGAAGAUUAUAUUUAAGAAUAAUAAACGCUAAUUUGGUACAAAAUCUA